rnacentral:rRNA from 1 species
GAUGAACGCUGGCGGCGUGCCUAAUACAUGCAAGUCGAGCGAACAGACGAGGAGCUUGCUCCUCUGACGUUAGCGGCGGACGGGCGAGUAACACGUGGAUAACCUACCUACAAGACUGGGAUAACUUCGGGAAACCGGAGCUAAUACAGGACAAUAUAUCUAACCGCAUGGUUUAAUAGUGAAAGACGGUUUUGCUGUCACUUAUAGACGGAUCGGCGCCGCAUUAGCUAGUUGGUUAGCUAACGGCAUACCAAGGCAACGAUGGGUAGCCGCCCUGAGGGGGUGAUCGGCCACACUGGAAGUGAGACACGGUCCAGACUCCUGCGGUAGGCAGCAGUAGGGAAUCUUCCGCAAUGGGGGAAAGCCUGACGGACCAACACCGCGUGAGGGAUGAAGGUCUUCGGAUCGUAAAGCUCUGUUAUUAGGGAAGAACAAAUGUGUAAGUAACUAUGCACGUCUUGACGGUACCUAAUCAGAAAGCCACGGCUAACUACGUG